rnacentral:rRNA from 1 species
UUAAGAAUCUUGCGCAAUGGGCGCAAGCCUGACGCAGCGACGCCGCGUGAAGGAUGAAGGCCUUCGGGUCGUAAACUUCGAUAAGCAGGGAAGAAUAAGUUAUGGCUAAUAUCCAUAACGAUGACGGUACCUGCCUAAAGCCCCGGCUAACUACGUGCCAGCAGCCGCGGUAAUACGUAUGGGGCGAGCGUUGUUCGGAUUUAUUGGGCGUAAAGGGCGUGUAGGCGGGGGACUAAGUCAGGUGUGAAAUCCAUGAGCUUAACUCAUGAACUGCACUUGAUACUGGUUCUCUUGAGUUUGGAAGAGGAGAGCGGAAUUCCGGUGUAGCGGUGAAAUGCGUAGAUAUCGGGAGAACACCGAGUGGCGCAGGCGGCUCUCUGGUACCAAAACGUGACGCUG